GUCCUGCCUAAGAGUGUGUCAUGGACUUCAGCUGGAUUAAAUGUGUAUUACCCGGGAGGAACUGUUAAGAACCAGCCAGACAGCCCGCCCGCCGAGCUGCCCACCCGGCCGAGCUGUACUUUGUGUAUGCCAACAUGCCGACAUGCUGUAAUUUGUUAGUACUUCAAGAUCAUAUAAUGGAAAAUUGUAUCCAAACUGAAGUAUAAUUUGACGAGCCUGGUUGCUGUAGCCACAGGGGAAUUUUCAAGGACAAGAACCAGUGCUGGUAAAAAUGUGGUCUCAUGUGGUUUUCCAUACUGGCAUUCAGC